CUUGCUCUUCUUGGAUGAGUUGCGAACGGGUGAGUAACGCGUAGGUAACCUGCCUUGUAGCGGGGGAUAACUAUUGGAAACGAUAGCUAAUACCGCAUAACAAUGGAUGACUCAUGUCAUUUAUUUGAAAGGGGCAAUUGCUCCACUACAAGAUGGACCUGCGUUGUAUUAGCUAGUAGGUGAGGUAACGGCUCACCUAGGCGACGAUACAUAACCGACCUGAGAGGGUGAUCGGCCACACUGGGACUGAGACACGGCCCAGACUCCUACGGGAGGCAGCAGUAGGGAAUCUUCGGCAAUGGGGGCAACCCUGACCGAGCAACGCCGCGUGAGUGAAGAAGGUUUUCGGAUCGUAAAACUCUGUUGUAAGUCAAGAACGAGUGUGAGAGUGGAAAGUUCACACUGUGACGGUAGCUUACCAGAAAGGGACGGCUAACUACGUGCCAGCAGCCGCGGUAAUACGUAGGUCCCGAGCGUUGUCCGGAUUUAUUGGGCGUAAAGCGAGCGCAGGCGGUUUGAUAAGUCUGAAGUUAAAGGCUGUGGCUCAACCAUAGUUCGCUUUGGAAACUGUCAAACUUGAGUGCAGAAGGGGAGAGUGGAAUUCCAUGUGUAGCGGUGAAAUGCGUAGAUAUAUGGAGGAACACCGGUGGCGAAAGCGGCUCUCUGGUCUGUAACUGACGCUGAGGCUCGAAAGCGUGGGGAGCGAACAGGAUU
rnacentral:rRNA from 1 species